rnacentral:rRNA from 1 species
GAUGAACGCUAGCGGCAGGCCUAACACAUGCAAGUCGAACGGUAACAGGAAUUAGCUUGCUAAUUUGCUGACGAGUGGCGCACGGGUGCGUAACGCGUAUACAAUCUGCCUUUAAGCGGGGAAUAGCCCAUGGAAACGUGGAUUAAUACCCCAUAGUAUGUAGACUUCACCUGGAGAUUACAUUAAACAUUUAUGGCUUAAAGAUGAGUAUGCGUCCUAUUAGUUAGUUGGUGAGGUAACGGCUUACCAAGACCGCGAUAGGUAGGGGUCCUGAGAGGGAGAUCCCCCACACUGGUACUGAGACACGGACCAGACUCCUACGGGAGGCAGCAGUGAGGAAUAUUGGACAAUGGAGGCAACUCUGAUCCAGCCAUGCCGCGUGCAGGAAGACGGCCCUAUGGGUUGUAAACUGCUUUUAUACGGGAAGAACCACAUCUACGUGUAGAUGCUUGACGGUACCGUAUGAAUAAGGACCGGCUAACUCCGUGCCAGCAGCCGCGGUAAUACGGAGGGUCCAAGCGUUAUCCGGAAUCAUUGGGUUUAAAGGGUCCGUAGGCGGGAUAAUAAGUCAGUGGUGAAAGUCUGCAGCUCAACUGUAGAAUUGCCAUUGAUACUGUUGUUCUUGAAUUAUUAUGAAGUGGUUGGAAUGAGUAGUGUAGCGGUGAAAUGCAUAGAUAUUACUCAGAACACCUAUUGCGAAGGCAGAUCACUAAUAAUAUAUUGACGCUGAGGGACGAAAGCGUAGGUAGCGAACAGGAUUAGAUACCCUGGUAGUCUACGCCGU